UGGCACCUCGAUGUCGGCUCGUCGCAUCCUGGGGCUGGAGAAGGUCCCAAGGGUCCGGCUGUUCGCCGGUUAAAGCGGCACGCGAGCUGGGUUCAGACCGUCGUGAGACAGGUCGGUCUCUAUCCGUGGUGGGCGUUCAGAGAUUUGAGGAGGUCUUUCCCUAGUACGAGAGGAUCGGGAAGGACAGACCAAUGGUGUAUCAGUUGUUCUGCCAAGGGCAUUGCUGAGUAGCCAAGUCUGGUUCGGAUAAGCACUGAAAGCAUCUAAGUGCGAAGCCGGCUCCAAGAUUAGAUCUCUCAUCCUUCUUUCGGGAAGGAGUAAGACCGCAAGAAGACUACUUGCUUGAUAGGCCACAGGUGUAAGCACGGUAACGUGUUCAGCUGAGUGGUACUAAUGGUCGAGGGCUUGACCUG
rnacentral:rRNA from 1 species